rnacentral:lncRNA from 1 species
AAACAAAAACAAGACUAAGGAAGAUACAACAAAAAUAUGAUAAAAUUAAAUGAAUAUCUAACUGGAGAAUAUGUAAAUAAAGAAGAAAAAAAAAGUUAUGAUGAGAACGAACACGAAAAAAAUAAAAAAGAUUGCAAUGCCCAGAGUUUAUUCGAAAUUGUAUCAUCGGAUGAUAGAGAGGUCCAAACAUGUGACAAUAAUAAUAUGAUAAUUGUCGAACUAAUUUCUUAUAUUUGUGGUAAUCCAAAACUUAUUUCUUUUUAUCCCAAAACAAAGAGUCAUAAAUCUAAACAAAGUAAAUAUUUAUAUCACUUUUAUAAAAAAAAAAAAGUUAAGUUAUAUUUAUGUUUAAGUCCACAGAAUAAUGAAAUCUUUAUAUACAAAGUAAAAUAUAAAAAUAAAAAUAAAAAUAGAUAUACUAAAAAUGAAAGUAUAACAAAUGAUAUAACUGUAACCCCAAAAAAUGAGUUUAACACUCGAAAUGAUAAAAAAGUUGAAAUAAAAAAGGAAAGUAAAACAAAUAAUCCGUUAUUACAUCAUGAACAUAUAACAGUAAAACACGAGCCUAAAAAUUCACUUACUAAAGGUGAUAUUUAUAGCAACAAUAAUACUUAUUAUAAUUCUGAUACUUAUGUGAUAAAUUCAAUAAAAAAAAAAGAAAAAAAUAAUAAUUAUGGUAAAAAAAAAUCAUUACGCAAAAUAUAUAUUAAAAAAUUAUUUGAUAGUGUAAAUAGUAAUUAUCACUUUGACAAAAUUGAGUUUAUAAAAUUAAGUGGUUAUGAUGAAAAAAUGUAUAAUACGAUGAAGACUAUUAUAGAACAAACGAUGAAUAAAAAAGAGCAAAAAAUAACAAAUAAUAUGGCAACAAAGGAGGCAAAUAAUGUGAUGGGGAAUAACAUUAUAUUAGACGUACAUGAAAAAAGAAAACUAGAAAAUUCAACAAAAAUAAACAUUGACUAUGAUAUAACCCCCAAUAAACAUAAUUCUUAUUUUUACAAUAGUUUUAAGAACCAAACCUAUUUCCCAAACGAUAUUGUUUUUGAUAUAAAAAAUAAUAGUAAAGCAGGUAUUGUGAAUUGUUCAAAGUUCCUCGAAAAGAAUUACGAGUUUAUAAACGAUCGUAUAGACCAAUGCACAAACGAACACAAUACCCAUAACGUUAAUAAUGAUAAUAAUAAUGAUAAUAAUAAUAUAAAUGUUUUGUUUUUGUAUUUCCAUGAACCGACUACUAUAUUUAUGAAUAACUUUGUUACGGUUGAUAAAGGUACUAUUCUUUUCAUUCUUUUUUUUUUUUUUUUUUUCUCAUCAUUCCAAAGUGUAUCUAAUUAUAUAUACAUGCACGUGCUUGUGUUUGUUAAAUUAUAUGUAUGUACAUACUUGUACAUGUAUAUAUACGACAUAAAUGUAUUUUUUUAUUUUGAUUU